rnacentral:rRNA from 1 species
CCUACGGGAGGCAGCAGUGGGGAAUAUUGGACAAUGGGGGCAACCCUGAUCCAGCCAUGCCGCGUGUGUGAAGAAGGCCCUCGGGUUUUAAAGCACUUUCAGUGAGGAAGAACGCCUGGUGGUUAAUACCCAUCAGGAAAGACAUCACUCACAGAAGAAGCACCGGCUAACUCCGUGCCAGCAGCCGCGGUAAUACGGAGGGUGCGAGCGUUAAUCGGAAUUACUGGGCGUAAAGCGCGCGUAGGUGGCUUGAUAAGCCGGUUGUGAAAGCCCCGGGCUCAACCUGGGAACGGCAUCCGGAACUGUCAAGCUAGAGUGCAGGAGAGGAAGGUAGAAUUCCCGGUGUAGCGGUGAAAUGCGUAGAGAUCGGGAGGAAUACCAGUGGCGAAGGCGGCCUUCUGGACUGACACUGACACUGAGGUGCGAAAGCGUGGGUAGCAAACAGGAUUAGAUACCCCUGUAGUC